GACGAACGCUGGCGGCGUGCUUAACACAUGCCAGUCGAACGAAGUGGCGAACGGGCGAGUAAUACGUGGGUAACCUGCCCUCCUUUUUGGGAUAAGCCUUGGAAACGGGGUCUAAUACCGAAUAAAGGGGGAUGGGCUCGCGGCCUAUCAGCUUGUUGGAGGGGUGGUGGUCUACCAAGGCGGUGACGGGUAGCCGGCCUGAGAGGGGGACCGUCCAUAGUCGGAAGGGGAUACGGCACAGACUCCAACGGGAGGAAGCAGUGGAGGAGAUUGCACAAUGAGCGAAAGACUCAUGGAGGGACGCCGCGUGGGGGAUGAAGGCUGUCGGGUUGAAAACCUUUUAGGCUUUCGAACGGGUAGGUGGAGAAGAAGCGCCGGCUAACUGCGUGCCAGCAGCCGCGGUAAUUC
rnacentral:rRNA from 1 species